GGGGAUGUCUAGGUGUCUGGGGAAGGUCUGAACCAGUCAACCCAGAGGGGAUGUCUAGGUGUCUGGGGAAGGUCUGAACCAGUCAACCCAGAGGGGAUGUCUAGGUGUCUGGGGAAGGUCUGAACCAGUCAACUCAGAGGGGAUGUCUAGGUGUCUGGGGAAGGUCUGAACCAGUCAACCCAGAGGGGAUGUCUAGGUCUCUGGAGAAGGUCUGAACCAGUCAACCCAGAGGGGAUGUCUAGGUCUCUGGAGAAGGUCUGAGCCAGGCGUUCCACCCUAUUCUAUAUGGAGGUAGAGUCCCUAUCCUCCAGCCCAGGAAUGUGUCCCAAAUGGAAGUCUAUUCCCAAUUUAGUGCACUACAUUUGACCAGACAUUUGGGAUGACACAAGCCUCAGAGGCCAUGAAAUCCACCUGGUCAGGGAUCUGCCCUCCAGUCUCCAUGCAAUAAUUCUGGAGCUGCUGGGUUUAUAAAUGAGGCCACAUAUAUACCACCAUCAACCCCUACUCUAGCACCAUCCUGGCUGGUGCUGCAAAAUUACAGUGACUUUACCAAAAUCCAUAUUCCCUCCUGAUUCUGGGAAUCUUCCAAUCAGGUUUCAUGGGAAAGUUAUCAGAAUAUUGCAAACCUAAUCCAGGCAGUGCUGCUUGGUGUUGUCAAUCGAAUUAUGCUUGCAUUCCAAAUAUGGUCUCCACCUGAGAAUAAGGAGAAACCUUUUUUGUUCUAGGUAGAACCAUUUUUGGUUCCAUGUAGAACCCGUUUGAGUUCCAUGUAGAACUUCAAAGGGUUCUCCUAUGGGGACAGCCGAAGAACCCUUUGAGGUUCUACAUAGCUCCUUUUUUUCUAAGCGUGUACACAUACUCUGGCAGCCGUUUCACUGCUUUCUGACAUCCCAUAUGUCAGUGACAGCCACAGAUUAGGACUUUCAGAAAGUUACAUAAAAACAAAAAUGCACGACAAACGCAGCAGUACCCUCAUCCCUUCAAGGGUGACCACAUCCCAAAUUACAACCUGUUCUUUAUUUAGUGCACUACUUUUGACCAGAGCGCUAUGGGCUAUGUAAGGAAUGGGUACACUACAUUGGGAAGAGGGUGCUACUUGGGACACAGCCAGUGAAGAUCAGCAGCAACCCAGACUACUCUUGUCAACACUGUCAGUGUGAUUCCAAUGCUCUGUCUGUCUGUCUGUCUGUCUGUCUGUCUGUCUGUCUGUCUGUCUGUCUGUCUGUCUGUCUGUCUGGUUCCAACACUCUGUCUGUCUGUCUGUCUGUCUGUCUGUCUGUCUGUCUGUCUGUCUGUCUGUCUGUCUGUCUGUCUGUCUGUCUGUCUGUCUGUCUGUCUGUCUGUCUGUCUGGUUCCAACACUCUGUCUGUCUGUCUGUCUGUCUGUCUGUCUGUCUGUCUGUCUGUCUGUCUGUCUGUCUGUCUGUCUGUCUGUCUGUCUGUCUGUCUGUCUGUCUGUCUG
rnacentral:lncRNA from 1 species